rnacentral:rRNA from 1 species
AGGAAAAGAAACUAACAAGGAUUCCCCUAGUAACUGCGAGUGAAGCGGGAAAAGCUCAAAUUUAAAAUCUGGCGGUCUUUGGCCGUCCGAGUUGUAAUCUAGAGAAGUAAUGCCCGUGCUGGACCGUGUAUAAGUCUCCUGGGAUGGGGCGUCAUAGAGGGUGAGAAUCCCGUCUUUGACACGGACUACCAGUGCAUUGUGGUAUGCUCUCAAAGAGUCGAGUUGUUUGGGAAUGCAGCUCAAAAUGGGUGGUAAAUUCCAUCUAAAGUUAAAUAUUGGNGAGAGACNGAUAGCGAACAAGNACCGUGAGGGAAAGAUGAAAAGAACUUUGGAAAGAGAGUUAAACAGAACGUGAAAUUGCUGAAAGGGAAACGCUUGAANUCANUCGCGUUGGCCAGGGAUCANCCUUGCUUUUGCAUGGUGUAUUUUUGGGUUGACNNGGUUCAGCAUCAAUUUUGACCGCUGGAAAAGGCCNUGGGGAAUGUGGCAGCUUCGGCUGUGUUAUAGCCCCUGGUCGCAUACAGUGGUUGGGAUUGAGGAAUUCAGCACGCCGCAAGGCCGGGUUUCGACCACGUUCGUGCUUAGGAUGCUGGCAUAAUGGCUUUAAGCGACCCGUCUUGAAACACGGACCAAGGAGUCUAACAUGCCUGCGAGUAUUUGGGUGGAAAACCCGAGUGCGCAAUGAAAGUGAAAGUUGAGAUCCCUGUCGUGGGGAGCAUCGACGCCCGGACCAGAACUUUUGGGACGGAUCCGCGGUGGAGCAUGUAUGUUGGGACCCGAAAGANCNUGAACUAUGCCUGAAUAGGGUGAAGCCAGAGGAAACUCUGGUGGAGGCUCGUAGCGAUUCUGACGUGCAAAUCGAUC